rnacentral:lncRNA from 1 species
GUGGCUCUUCUGUUGGUGGAUGAUGAAUAGACGACACAGAUGAUGGAGUUGAUUGGAAUUUGUUGCUCAAGUCUGAGUCCGGAAUGUGCUGUUGAAUUACUACCCUCCCGCUUCAGCUUCAUCAAUUCGUCCCCAACACCUAGCCACCACCGCCGUCGUCAUCAUCAUCAUCAUCUUUUCAGGCGGCCUCCCAUCCACGCUACAACUUACCACUCCUUCCGUAAUCCUCCUCCUACUAGUGCUACCACUUCUUCUACUUGUUAUUCGCCCCGGCGGCGGAGCAGCAGAUCAAAAUUUGCCUGUUGUUCUUCGCUGCCUAGACCACAACCUCCUGCUGCUGCUGCCGCCGCCGCCGCCGCCUCGGAAUUCCAGGGGGACAGCGGCAGUGCUUCUAGUAGUCCCGAUGAUUCCUCCGUUGCUGCUGCGGAGGACGAUUUUAGUCACGUCAUCAAGUUCAACAUGUCCGACUUCAACAUCUCUGACCGCGUCAGCGUUGGCCUUACCAGCCGGGUACCCACUCCCCUACCCCGGUCCUCCUCCACUCCUCUUUUCUCUCAAUUACCUAAUAUUUUCCCUUCAUACAUUCAGGCGGACGAGGUUAUCUUCGAAGCUACCGUCAAGGAUGUUAAUAAGUAAGUUGAUUUUCAGCUACCACCCGCCACCUUGUAAAGCAAUAAAUUGAGGAGGUUUCCAUUUUUAUUUGUUUGUAUUAUUUUCUUUUGGACUUGUUGUUUUAGGUUUUAAUAUACAUUUUGUACAUUUGCAGUCCAUUAUAUAACACCAAAGUUGUGCUUCGGAGGCUCACAAGUGCUCAGGCUAAGCGCAGAGGACGGAGAGCCAUAGAGGUUGCUUGAUUCUUGAAAACCGCUCCAAUUUCAUUUUACGCUUUGUUAGGCGCUAGUCUUUAAUUUUUCUGCAAUCUGAUUUUAGGUGUUGAGGAGAUUGGCUCGUCGUAGAUUAAUGUACCAUUCUUACUCGAUGCAAGUUUAUGGAUAUGUCUCUUCAUCUUCCACUGGUGACACUGGCGCAUUUACGCUAGUCCAUGGGGUAGGUUGCUUUUUGUUGAGCAAUUGUGUUUUUAUAAACCUGCACUGCUGUGGAACUAAGAAUGCUGCAAUCAAGUUAUUUAGUGUUCUCAGUUUAACCCCCCUUUGGAUUGAAAAUUUGUGGAGCUCAUUCAAAAUAUGAAGUAAGUUGUUAUACAAUGAGUAUGUUUUUCUGCUAACGAUUGUAUCUCCCAUGUCCUUCUAAAGGAGACCAGAUGCAGUUUUAAUGUGCAGACUGAAUGCUGUCAUGCUCUUAAUGACAUGAUCUUUUAGAUGCUUUUGACUCAACUGUAAGCCUCUGUGUCUGACUUUGUAACAAUAUUCACUCUUGGUCUUUUCCUUUUUCAGUAUCAUGGCAGUUUUUCUUUGAGACAUUGGCUCCAACAAUCUGACUGGUUUCCCACUUUGGAAGCUACUCUUGCUCUAGAUGAGGAUUCUGCAAGAAAAGUGGGUGACGAUACUAUUGGUGGGCCUGCCGUUUCUCGACAAUUGCGACUUAUUCGGGUUUUGAUGAGGGAUCUUUUGAUUGGGGUGCGUUAUUUGUGCAAUUUUUGUAUUAUCCACAAUCACAGUUCAGUUUGUGUUGCUUACUCCAUUUCUAUGUUAAUAAGUGCUUUUAUUGCAUUCCCACCUCAGGUCAAUUACUUGCACAGCCAUGGACUUGCCCAUACAGAGUUGAGACUGGAAAAUUUGCAUAUUAGCCCUGUGGAUAAACAUAUCAAAGUGAGAUUAUGCUCUUUUCCUCGUUAUACUGGUAAAGAAGCUAAGAGCUUUAGUACUGUAUUUCGACUUUUACUGACGUUUAUGAGAUUUUAGUUAGCAUGUCUGUGCACUUGCACCUCUUCGGACAAGGACUUUGGCAAGAUAAUUAUUUAGUAUUGCUGAACUCUGGACUGAAAAUGUGAAAACAUCCAGUUCUCUUCUAAGCUUAUGUAGACUACUUGGUUCGCUGUAACCACGUAAACAUUCGUGUCUUAUAUAUGUGCAUAUACAUAAUUGUGCAUUCCUCGAAAGAAUACCCUUAGAUAUGGACAUACAUAUCUAUAUUGAAAGCCACCACAAAAGCCACCACGGUUGUCAUGUUCUUAAAAAUCACCCAAUUCACAAAGCAUGUUUUCAAGCAUUUUCUUCUAUAUCUUAGUAACCUCCUGAAAUUAUAUAUAGCCCAAUUUUAUUUUUCUUAGGUGGGGAUACUGGGAAAUGCUGCUGAUCUUUAUGAGAGCUGUUCGGAGACAUUAAAUAGCAAAAUCGAUCGGCGAGAGAUGAUGAUUGCAUUUGACAUGAGGUAAAACAGCUCUGAUGCCUUUUGUCAUUUUUUGUCAGCACAAGCAUUUUCAUGGAUUUGCUUUUAAUUUAUCGGGAUUUUUUAGGUGUGUCGGGUACAUUAUGGCUAAAAUGGUGCUGACGGAACUCAUGGAUUCAUCGGUAUUUAUGAAGUUUAAAGCAUUCCUCACCAAGGUACGAAAGGCUUUCAUGGUAAAAACUCUUUAGACAAUGAAUUUCUUUUUUUUUACUUUCAUUCUUAGUGAUAAAUUCCCAUUCCAUGUAGGGAAAUGAUUCCUCCUGCUUGCGUGAGUUCCUAUUGCCUACUAUCUAUAGGAAUUCCUCAUCUGGAAAUACUGGAAUCCAAGUUAGUUCAAUCCCUUCUCCAAAGUCGCUGCACUUCUGCUCUUUUGCACCCUGAGAACAACGUGCUAAAAUAUCUUUCUUGCAGAUACUUGAUAGAAAUUGGGGUGCAGGUUGGAACUUACUAUCACUUCUCCUAGCAACCAAACCUUCACAGAGAAUAAGGUAGGCUAGCUUAUAGAAUCUCCAACGUUUUCAUAUUGAUGUUAGUUGUGAGGGAAGAAGCUGUAAAAAUAAUUAUUGGGAUCUUAUAGCUCGCAUCUUGCUUUGCCACGGGGACAUCAAAUGCUUUUCUCAUCCAGCUUUACCGCUGCUGUGAUCUCUGUGGAGGACAGAUAUAUAUAGGAUAUCAUGGAAUAGAAUUGAUUUUCGAAGUAGGAUACAAGACUAUGACCAGCAGCAUUUCAUAUUUUCUGCUAUACUUAUUUUGUCAGUAGUUUGAAUGGGGAUUCAAUACCAUCACUAAUAGCCAUUCCAUUCGCUCUAAUCUAAUUUUUCUAAUUAGUAAAUGAUUAUCAGUAAUCCCCUUGCCUAGGAGUUGAACAUUUUUCAUGCCAUCUCAUGGUACUGUUCAUUAUAUACUGUACAACAGUUGCUUAAAAGCCUUGAGACAUCCUUUCUUAUGUGGACCAAGAUGGAGGAUAGACCCGUCAAUGGACAUUAUCAAAUGGAACCUCGGUUCAACUGCAGUUCGAAUAACAGAGGAGUACAUUUAUAACCAGCAGCAGGUCUGUAAUAUUUGUUCCUCUGUGACUCAUCUUAAUCUGUCUUUGUCAGCUGUAAUCUUAAAGUUUCUUCAUCUCUGAAAACGUGGUUAAUAUAUGUCUUUAUCUUUUAAUCAAAUCAUGAUUAGAUCCUUUUAGAAAUUGUGUAAAUGGAGAAUCUGAGUCUUGAUCUGCAAAUCAUGAUGACUGAUUAUUUUGGAAACCCACUUUAUACCCUUAAAAACACACACCUGGAUCUAUAUAUGUUGCACAAAGAUUUGCUUCAUUGUACUUUCUCAAAUUAUGAUUUGAGUUGCAUUGUUAUUACAUCGGCUCAAGGAAUUGCCACAUAAAACAGUUUCAGAAAUUUCUUACCAGCCAUUUCAGCUUAUUUUUUAUUGCAACGUGAUUGUUGGAAACUGCUAUCAGUAUAGCAGUCAAACCAACCCAAUUGUCACACUUUGUACAUUCUUUUUUUUUUUUUUACACUUUUUACUUUCCUAUAUUUACUGUAACAAAUAAAAGAGUAAAGUAUAUUUGUUUCUUCUAGGGGGAUGGAGCUUUUGUUUUUAAAUUGAGGAAAACAAGAGGUCUUCUUUGACUUUUGAAUAGAAAUACAUUUGUUUGAAUAUCAAAUUAUUUUAAAUAAUACUUUGCUUGCAUUAUAAUCACAUUUCCCAAUUCAUCUUUUUAUUUUACAUGCAUCACAUCAUAAAAAGUAUUACAAUAAUUAUUUCAAAUAAUACUUUAUCCAAACAGUUUUCUGCGAAGGACAUUCACCUGCCGGGAGUAAAAUAUUGUCAGCAGACAAGUGCUCUCCAAUAUUGUUGAUAGUCUUACCUUGUGCAUGUUGGGCAGGUACGACUUUAAAUUUGAAUUUUACUGAGAAGUUGCGUCUUUUUUGUGUU